rnacentral:lncRNA from 1 species
ACAGUUUGAAAUAAGAGUCUGGAUUUCAUUUACCAAGGACUCACACCCUGCUAAAACCUAUUAAAAUCAAUGAUUGAUUUUGCUUAUACAUGAAAGCAUGGAUCCCAACAUGCUCUGCUUCUGUUUCUAGCAUGAUUCUGAGUCAUGCUUUAAGAAUAAUAUUUAGCACUUAGCAACCCAGAGUUUAGUUUGUCCCUGAAAUCACAUUGUUUGGUUUGGGAUGUAGUGUGUUUUUGAAACAAUGGAUUCUUGUCUCCACUCCAGACUUAGCAAAUCUGAACCUCCAUGAGUGCAUGAGUGGAGGUCAGAGAAUGCAGUUUUGUAUUUUUAGUUCUGGGAA